GACGUAGGGCGCGAGCGUUGUCCGGAUUUAUUGGGCGUAAAGAGCUCGUAGGCGGCUUGUCGCGUCGAAUGUGAAAUCCUGCGGCUCAACUGCAGGCUUGCAUUCGAUACGGGCAGGCUAGAGUUCGGUAGGGGAGAAUGGAAUUCCCGGUGUAGCGGUGAAAUGCGCAGAUAUCGGGAGGAACACCGGUGGCGAAGGCGGUUCUCUGGGCCUUACCUGACGCUGAGGAGCGAAAGCGUGGGGAGCGAACAGG
rnacentral:rRNA from 1 species